AUCUCUGCCCGCUGGCCAGCCAUGUCUCCUUCCACGACUGGAUCAACAUCACCCCCGUCCAAUGGAUUUAUCCCGUUCACCGGCGUUCGCGAUCGACGAGCUGCAGAAUCUCACAACGCUCGAGCUCCAGGCCCGCUCCCCGGCGAGGUGCCUGCGUGGUUCAUCCGCGGUCUCCUGCCGCCACUCGCCGUGGUCGAGCUCCGCUAGAUCGCAGUCAAUGGCACGCUCCCGCCCAAUCUCGGCUCAUCGGGGAUUCUGACUAGGCUUCUCCUCUUCGGGAACAGCCUCUCGGUCCAGGUUCCAGAAACGUUGCUCUCCGUCAAAGGCCUUCUAUCGUAUAAAUUUGUUAUAUUUACUUUAUACUUUCUGGGGUCCUCUAAGUGGCGGUUGUGCUUUUGACGUUUAUGAAUACAGCAAUGACAUUCAUAUUUGUCAAGGCAUUAUUACUGAAGAGACAUAAAAAUUAUAUAUGUGAAACUUUUGUUGACCUAUUAUUCCCACCUCAGAACAAAAGAUUAGAGGAAUAUGAUUUGUCUAUGUAUAUGGUUCGAAGAAUUGACCUGAUGUAGAAGUAUAUGAUUUUGUGUGACUAGCCGUGAGUAAAUAUUGUUGUUUCGACUGGCCGUGAGUAGUGCUGAGGACUUGCGGGUAUUUCUUAGGUAUUCUUUUUACUCAGGUUUGACCAUAGAAACGAACAAGUCUUAUGACCAUCUGUACUGUAGUAUUGAUUAUACUAAUUUGUUGAGAUUUCAGGAUUUCAUAAUCAGGGAAUGAAAUAAAUUCCCACUUUACAGGAUGAUGGAACAUGCCAUGGUGAAGAAUCACAGUCUCUACUGGAAGUAUCUCAACAGCCAGAGCUUAAAUGUAGAGGUUCUGACUGGAGAUCACCUGCAAUCAUUCUUGGACUUGAAUGCUUGGAGAGCACACUAUGCCACGUUAAGUGAGGAAAAACGGUUCGUUUCUGUACACAAGUCGUGAUGAUGAUCUAUGAAACCUUAGAAGCGAUAUUCUGAAGUAAGCCCUUGGUGCCGCAGUGGCUGGAGCUUGAACAUUCUAUCGCAUAGACGCGGGUUUGAGUCCAAGUUCUCCCUUUUUUCAUUUUUAAUCUUUUUCCUUUCCUAUCCUUAUAUUACCUAUACUAAUAAAAGUCGUAUCACUUCUGUCCGUA